UGCCUCUUAAACUCCGCUGGCAGAACAGUCAGCGCUCGGCGGGAACGUUUGUUUUCAACAUAAACAAGAAGAUGGAGGGGUCGUCGAACGACAUAAUAUCCAGCACGACUGAUAAAACCAAUGUAACUGAAGUCGAGGGUGUUGUCCAGUCAUGGAUGAUCGAUUAUUACUUCGCGUCGCUAUGUCGGCUCUUCAGAGACAGAACUGCGCUGGAGUUUCGUAAAACUUUGAAGCUAUUGGAAAGUCAGAGCACCCCACUCAGAGAACGAUCUGCUGCUUCCUUGCCAGAGUGAUGGACGGGGAAAACCUGGAAGUCCGUUAUGAUCAUGUUUCUCGAAUCACUCCCUUGAUGUCAGCGUUGCCGAUUUGGGAGUCGUUAAAGAAAGUAUCUGAUUCAGACUUGCAUGCUAAGAUCAAGACGCUACUGAUUGUUCAGGUAUUUAUGUUUGAGAGUGACGG
rnacentral:lncRNA from 1 species